UUUGUCUUCCCUUCAGCUUCCUCCUUGGGUUUUUGUUCCCAGUAAUGUGGUACUAUGCCACGAUUCUGUACUUCUGGAAUUCUCGUCGAGAUCCAAGGGAACGAGCUGGAUUAGCUGCGUCCUCCAUUGCUGCACUUGCAUGUUCGGUCAUCUUGUUAGUCGUCGUAGCUGUUCGCUUAUUAUAGCCCCUCGGUCUCCAUUAUUGACACUGCAUUCUUAAAUCCCUGUCCCCAUGGGCGUUGGGGGCUUGGCAAUGCAGUCUCAAACAGAUCAGAUUCUGUGGAUGCAGCAGAUAAAAGACUAAAGAGCUCUGUUGCUUGACAAGGACAAGGGUGAUUUCUGUUACUGUAAAUGUUUACAAAUCAUAUUUCAAAAGAGAAUUGUCGGCUUUUGUAAUACUACACUAAGAAUACGUAAUACAUGGCCUUUGAGUCCCUAAGAUUUUAAAGCUAA